UUAUCGAAUGUAUCUACAAGUCGGUUGUAGCUGGCUCUCUGGAGCAGGUGCUCGCCGCUUGUCUUUACUACCUUUCCACUUUGUGAACCUUUGUAGACCUCGAAUGAAGUCGCCUGAAAACGGCGGACUAGAUGGGACUUGUCUUUGGGCAUUCCCUUGACUAGUAGUAGUAGUUCGAGGUCUAUGUCCUUAUCAUUUACUCUUGACUGAAUGUUAUUGAAUGUGAAUUUACUGGUCUCUUGUGGACCUCUAAAACUUUAUACAACUUUCAGCAACGGAUCUCUUGGCUCUCGCAUCGAUGAAGAACGCAGCGAAAUGCGAUAAGUAAUGUGAAUUGCAGAAUUCAGUGAAUCAUCGAAUCUUUGAACGCACCUUGCGCUCCUUGGUAUUCCGAGGAGCAUGCCUGUUUGAGUGUCAUUAAAUUCUCAACCUUGACUUAUUUUGUUAAGUCAAAGGCUUGGAUUGUGGGGGUUUUUGCGGGCUUCCCCUGGAAGUCGGCUCCCCUUAAAUAAAUUAGUGGAGACUUGUAAUCGUCGCCUUGGUGUGAUAAUUAUCUGCGCCUUGGAUGUAUGGUUGACUCUUGAUGUCUUUGCUCAUAACUGUCCAACUCUCGAUGGACAACAAUUACCAUGACCUUUGACCUCAAAUCAGGUAGGACUACCCGCUGAACUUAAGCAUAUCAAUAAGCGGAGGAAAAGAAACUAACAAGGAUUCCCCUAGUAACUGCGAGUGAAGCGGGAAAAGCUCAAAUUUAAAAUCUGGCAGUCUUUGGCUGUCC
rnacentral:rRNA from 1 species